rnacentral:rRNA from 1 species
CCAGACUCCUACGGGAGGCAGCAGUGAGGAAUAUUGGUCAAUGGGCGAGAGCCUGAACCAGCCAAGUCGCGUGAGGGAAGACGGUCCUAUGGAUUGUAAACCUCUUUUGCCGGGGAGCAAAAAGCGGUACGUGUACCGCAUCGAGAGUACCCGGAGAAAAAGCAUCGGCUAACUCCGUGCCAGCAGCCGCGGUAAUACGGAGGAUGCGAGCGUUAUCCGGAUUUAUUGGGUUUAAAGGGUGCGCAGGCGGCGAGUUAAGUCAGCGGUAAAAUUGCGGGGCUCAACCCCGACAAGCCGUUGAAACUGGCUUGCUAGAGUGGGCGAGAAGAAGGCGGAAUGCGUGGUGUAGCGGUGAAAUGCAUAGAUAUCACGCAGAGCCCCGAUUGCGAAGGCAGCCUUCCGGCGCCCUACUGACGCUGAGGCACGAAAGUGCGGGGAUCGAACAGGAUUAGAUACCCCAGUACAA